AGGAUUUGCAUUUUCAUUUUGUAGCUCAUUAGCUGUUUGAUCCUGAGCAAGUUUCUUCACUUCUGAGAGUCUCCUUCCCUUAUUUUGUAAAAUGAAGCCAAUGAAUUUCUAUCCAAAAUAGCAUCUAAAAAGGGUGAUAUGAAGCAGCAUGGCUUUUAACAGGAGGCACACUCAGGAGAUGGUAGCUGCAUUCCAAGAUGGGUGUAUUCUUCUGGAAAAGACACUGAGAUGGAGUUUGAGGAGAAAAGUAUUUAAUAAGGUCCAACAUCUGUGAAGUGAUUUAUGUACAGGCAGAAGAAUAUCAUCUAAUCCUCACUCAACUCUACCAGGAAUGAUCUGGAUACCUACCUUAAAUCAUCAACCCCAGCUCUUGGAGAAAAUUUAAAUGCAAACAUCAGCCUCAUUUUUUAGAGCAAGAAACUUUGAAGAUCCUAGAAGGAAGCUAAGUUCCACUGACCCAGAAGAUAAUUUAAGAAUGAUACUGUAAGAGAUGUGCACAGGGUCCAGGGAAUACACACCCAGAUGCUGAGGCACCCAGGGACCUGCACUUGAAAGAACAAGGGCAGAAGGCUGUGCUGCUGGAGCCCUCUGAGAGCUGGAGCUACAAGCCAAGGUUGUCCAUUAGGAGUGGUCUUCACAGAGGGAUGUAGCCACCUCCAGAAAUGUGGUGACAAAGGGAGGGUGUGGUUAAAGUUUACCCUUGCUCACUCCCUUCUCCUGCCCCCACAUUUCCUUCUAGUAAUCAUCAGAAUCCAGAGGAUGAGGAGACUUCUCUGGUCUUCUGGGACACAGAGAAGGGGGCAGAAAAGCAAAGAUUGGAUCUGGGAGUGCUGUGGAGAGGGUGGUGGCAGGUAGGGAUAGGGAGCAUUGCUUUGCUGAGCUGGGCGUUGGCUGUUUAUGGUCAAGUCUCCACAUUGUGGUGGGGGAGUUGCAAACAUCUCUCAGCUUGCUUCACGGCUGACCCACUAAAUAUUCGCCUGCUUCUGCAGAAAUUACAGGCAUAAAUUGAAGAAGUUUGCCUCCACAACUGCUCAAAAGAAUAAGCCUGUUAUCACUGGACCACCUACAGUGAACUUAACACAACUACUUGCCAUGACUGGACCCCGUGAAAUAGUCUCUUUCUUUAUGACAAUUUAUUUUUUGUUCAGAGAUCACUAAACAAUUAUUAUAAAGCAAUUUCUGUGCCACCUUGUAUGAUGUGAAUGUCUGUCACUGUAACUAAAAACAAACUUAGGGGAAUAAAAACCAGUUGAAGAAUUUACAAAUGAUCUUCUAUUUAUCUUUCAAACAAAUAUGCUAAUUAUUAAUCAGAAGACUAUGAUAAAAGAAUCCAGGAUUAAGAUGCCAGAUGUGAUUCUUUUGCCUUCUGUUGAUAGGUCUGUUGGACUUGACAUCUAACCUCUCUGGUUCUCAAUUUACCCAUCUUAAUCAAAGCACCCACCUGGGAAGACAAAGUGAAGCAUGGCACCAAAAUGAUUUGUUAGCCUCAUCUACACAUAAAUACCAGACCCUUAGCAAGUGUUACCACUGCUGCCAUUGUCACAAGCUGUUGUGUUUAUGGACAGCACUAUCUCAAAUUUCUUCUCACAGAGAGGCAAACUUUCCAUCUUCACUAUUCCUGCCAAAGGCACACAGCCAUAAGGACGUGAAAUACUGUUGCACUCACAUUCCAAGUGGUGUGUUUGUUAAGUUAUUCCAAACUAUAACCUGCCUCCCGUUAGAUGAGCACCACCAGAAGUCACAGCAUGGUUUUCUUCCUUUAGCCCAUUAAGAUGGCCGGAACCUCCCAACUUCCCCACCAUGUAUAUCCCAUUCAAAUGGAAAGAGAAAUUGCCCUCAUCAUUUGCCUGUAACUAGAUCUCAGUCCUGCUAAAGUGUGGGCACUCCAACUCCCAGGUGCAUUUUAAACCUUUUUAUUUUU